UCGGCGGCGGCGCGGCGGAACGCGUCGCGGGCGUCCCCGGUGCGGGCGCGCUGGGCGUCGAACCCGGCGCGGCCGAUCGUCGCGUCGUCGCCGAGC
rnacentral:tRNA from 1 species